rnacentral:rRNA from 1 species
AUGCCAGAGUUUCCAUUAUCCAGCCGAAGAUAGGGAUCCAAGCAAUCCAGAACCGUUCGUAGUCCCAUCUUUAACUAUGCCGACUAGGGAUGGACUGGCCCACCCCCAUUCCAGUACCUUAUGAGAAAUCAAAGGUUUUGGUCCUGGGGGGAGUAUGUCGCAGACUGAACCUAAGAAUUGACGGAAGGGCAGCCAGCAGGAGUGGACCUGCGCCUAAUUUGACUCACACGGGGACCUUAGCCAGGGUCCAGACCAUAGUAAGGAUUGACAAGAUGAUAGCUCUUUCUGUUCUGUGGUGUGCUCGGUGGGGGGCCGUUCUAGUGGUGGAGUGAUUUGUCUGGUUAAUUCCGAUAACGAACGAGACCCUUAACCUGCUAACUAGAUUCGAUCAUCUUAUGGUCGUUAUCUUCUUAGAGGGACUAUGUAACAUAAAAAACAUAGAAAGUAUGAGGCAAUAACAGGUCAGUGAUGCCCUUAUAUGUCCUGGGCUGCACGCGUGCUACACUGAUGUAUACAACAAGUGCCUAGUCAGACAUGGCAUGGCAAUCUCGAAUAUGCAUCGUGAUGGGGAUAGAUCUUUGCAAUUAUAGAUCUUGAACGAGGAAUUCCUAGUAAGUGCAAGUCAUCAUCUUGCAGGGAGAGAUGUCCCUGCCCUUUGUACACACCGCCCGUCGCUCCUACCGAUACCGGGUGAUCCGGUGAACCUUGGGACCUGCAAGUAAGAUAAGUAAACCAAUCACCAGAGGAAGGAGACUUU